AAUGCAUAAUUUUAUUUCUUUUACUUGAAAAAAAGUUACAAAUUGACAAAGAAUAGUUACAAUUUGAAUGAAUAUAAAGAUGCAAACGAAGACUAUUCUGUGCUGGAGCGCUGCAUUGCACACGAAGACAGCUUUGGUGACGCAUCAACAAUGACAUUUAAUAAUAUGAAAUCACAUGGAGGCCACAAGAUACCAUAUCAAGCAAAUUGUUGAGUAUCGAAUGGCCAAGUAUCGAGUGAAAAUUCAACACUGACUCACUUCACCGGGAAACGCUCUGAAAAUAAUUUAAAAAGUCCUUUCAACCAUUGCUGCUCUGUACACUGACCCCUUCACCAGGAAUCGCUCUGAAAAUAAUUUAAAAAGUCCUUUCAAAUACUGCUGCUCUGUACACUGACCCCUUCACCAGGAAUCGCUCUGAAAAUAAUUUAAAAAGUCCUUUCAACUACUGCUGUUCUGCACACUGACCCUUCACCAGGAAUCG